UGAAAGGUCUACUUAUAACUAAUAGUUUCA
rnacentral:piRNA from 1 species